AACGAACGCUGGCGGCAUGCCUAACACAUGCAAGUCGAACGAGACCUUCGGGUCUAGUGGCGCACGGGUGCGUAACGCGUGGGAACCUGCCCUUAGGUUCGGAAUAACUCCCCGAAAGGGGUGCUAAUACCGGAUAAUGUCUUCGGACCAAAGAUUUAUCGCCUUUGGAUGGGCCCGCGUUGGAUUAGCUAGUUGGUAGGGUAAAAGCCUACCAAGGCGACGAUCCAUAGCUGGUCUGAGAGGAUGAUCAGCCACACUGGGACUGAGACACGGCCCAGACUCCUACGGGAGGCAGCAGUGGGGAAUAUUGGACAAUGGGCGAAAGCCUGAUCCAGCAAUGCGCGUGAGUGAUGAAGGCCUUAGGGUUGUAAAGCUCUUUUACCCGGGAUGAUAAUGACAGUACCGGGAGAAUAAGCUCCGGCUAACUCCGUG
rnacentral:rRNA from 1 species